rnacentral:rRNA from 1 species
UAAAGAUUCAUCGCUGAUAGAUAGGCAUGCGUUCCAUUAGGCAGUUGGCGGGGUAACGGCCCACCAAACCGACGAUGGAUAGGGGUUCUGAGAGGAAGGUCCCCCACAUUGGUACUGAGACACGGACCAAACUCCUACGGGAGGCAGCAGUGAGGAAUAUUGGUCAAUGGGCGUAAGCCUGAACCAGCCAAGUCGCGUGAGGGAUGAAGGUUCUAUGGAUCGUAAACCUCUUUUAUAAGGGAAUAAAGUGCGGGACGUGUCCCGUUUUGUAUGUACCUUAUGAAUAAGGAUCGGCUAACUCCGUGCCAGCAGCCGCGGUAAUACGGAGGAUCCGAGCGUUAUCCGGAUUUAUUGGGUUUAAAGGGUGCGUAGGCGGCCUUUUAAGUCAGCGGUGAAAGUCUGUGGCUCAACCAUAGAAUUGCCGUUGAAACUGGGAGGCUUGAGUAUGUUUGAGGCAGGCGGAAUGCGUGGUGUAGCGGUGAAAUGCUUAGAUAUCACGCAGAACCCCGAUUGCGAAGGCAGCCUGCCAAGCCAUGACUGACGCUGAUGCACGAAAGCGUGGGGAUCAAACAGGAUUAGAUACCCUGGUAGUCCACGCAGUAAACGACGAUCACUAGCUGUUUGCGAUACACAGUAA